GCAGGGUAGACAUUACGAAAAGAAAUACUUAGCUAUACCUAUACCAAAUAUAUGCUCACCAUAAUAAUAUAAUGUGCCACUAUUCUUUCCGAUACAAAAUGAUAUUUAUACAGUUUUAAACCUUUUCGGUCACUUGGUGAUUUCAUACGCACUAAGUCAAAUACCGUCAUUUUGGUAAGUCAAAUACCGUCAUUUUUUUUUUUUUUGAUAACUCUGGUAUCUGGGCAGCCACAUUCCCAACUAUCUCCCGAAAGGGGUCCAGCGCCCCAACGGAAAGGAUGUUAAAUCCGUUGUGGCCAAGACUCGAACCCGGGUGGCGGACAGUACAGUUGUACCUCCUUUACCACCAAGCUACGAGCGCUUGGUUAAAUACCGUCAUUUUGUUCCUUAAGAUAUAUAUGCAAGCCGAAAUACUUUACACUUCGGUGACAUGACACUUUUGAUCUUAAGAAUAUAUUCAAGAACAUCUCCAGGUUUGUUAACAUAGCUUUUUCAUAUAUAAUUUAGACUAAUAAGAAAUAUUUCC
rnacentral:lncRNA from 1 species